rnacentral:rRNA from 1 species
GACGAACGCUGGCGGCGUGCUUAACACAUGCAAGUCGAACGGAAAGGCCCUGCUUUUGUGGGGUGCUCGAGUGGCGAACGGGUGAGUAACACGUGAGUAACCUGCCCUUGACUUUGGGAUAACGUCAGGAAACUGGGGCUAAUACCGGAUAUGAGCUCCUGCUGCAUGGUGGGGGUUGGAAAGUUUCGGCGGUUGGGGAUGGACUCGCGGCUUAUCAGCUUGUUGGUGGGGUAGUGGCUUACCAAGGCUUUGACGGGUAGCCGGCCUGAGAGGGUGACCGGCCACAUUGGGACUGAGAUACGGCCCAGAGUCCUACGGGAGGCAGCAGUGGGGAAUAUUGCACAAUGGGCGGAAGCCUGAUGCAGCAACGCCGCGUGCUGGAUGACGGCCUUCGGGUUGUAAUCAGCUUUCGCCUGUGACGAAGCGUGAGUGACGGUAAUGGGUAAAGAAGCACCGGCUAACUACGUG